rnacentral:tRNA from 1 species
AGGAUAAUAGUUAACCACAUAACGAUUAAUUUGCAUUUAAAAAUCAUUGAAUAAUUCAAUUUAUCUU